UGGUUCUGGCAUCGAUGAAGAACGCAGCGAAAUGCGAUAAGUAAUGUGAAUUGCAGAAUUCAGUGAAUCAUCGAAUCUUUGAACGCACAUUGCGCCCCCUGGCAUUCCGGGGGGCAUGCCCGUUCGAGCGUCAUAUAACAAAACUCACGCCUGGCGUGGUAUUGGGCCUAGGACCCAGGGUCGGGCCCCAAAUAUUUCGGCUAUAAAUUAGUAAAUGGGGAGUGCUGUAGCAUGGUGCCGCAAAUAUCGACAUAUAUAUGCGGCGCGGAGUUUGUAGGCCCCUGCCCUGCGCGUUCGCAUCGGUGACUCGGACUGAACACAAGUUUGACCUCGGAUCGGGUAGGAAUACCCGCUGA
rnacentral:misc_RNA from 1 species